rnacentral:rRNA from 1 species
UACGUAGGGGGCAAGCGUUGUCCGGAUUUAUUGGGCGUAAAGAGCGUGUAGGCGGCCAUUCAGGUCAGCUGUGAAAACUCGAGGCUCAACCUCGAGACGUCGGUUGAAACCGUUUGGCUAGAGUCCGGAAGAGGAGAGUGGAAUUCCCGGUGUAGCGGUGAAAUGCGUAGAGAUCGGAAAGAACACCAACGGCGAAAGCACUCUGCUGGGCCGACACUGACACUGAGAGACGAAAGCUAGGGGAGCGAAUGGG